rnacentral:rRNA from 1 species
UACGUAGGGUGCGAGCGUUAAUCGGAAUUACUGGGCGUAAAGCGUGCGCAGGCGGUUCGUUCUGUCCGAUGUGAAAGCCCCGAGCUCAACUUGGGAAUGGCAUUGGAAACUGGCGAGCUGGAGUGUGGCAGAGGGGGGUGGAAUUCCACGUGUAGCAGUGAAAUGCGUAGAGAUGUGGAGGAACACCGAUGGCGAAGGCAGCCCCCUGGGCCAACACUGACGCUCAGGCACGAAAGCGUGGGGAGCAAACAGG